GUCGUUGUACCGAAGUGGUUAACGGGAUGGUCUCGAAUCUGCAAGUCUUCGCCAACCAUUGGACUCUGUCCGCGUAGGUUCGAAUCCUAUCGGCGACG
rnacentral:tRNA from 1 species